UACGUAGGGACCAAGCGUUGUUCGGAUUUACUGGGCGUAAGGGGCGCGUAGGCGGCGCGGUAAGUCACUUGUGAAAUCUCUGAGCUUAACUCAGAACGGCCAAGUGAUACUGCAGUGCUAGAGUGUGGAAGGGGCAAUCGGAAUUCUUGGUGUAGCGGUGAAAUGCGUAGAUAUCAAGAGGAACACCUGAGGUGAGGACGGGUUGCUGGGCCAACACUGACGCUGAGGCGCGAAAGCCAGGGGAGCAAACGGG
rnacentral:rRNA from 1 species